CCCUGCUCAUGCUCUGUCUCUCUCUGUCUCAAAAAUAAAACAUUUUUUAAAAAUUAAAAAAAAAAAACUACAAAUCAAAACCACAGUAUAUCCUUUUAUACACACAAGAUAGCUAUAGCCAUAAAGACAGAUAGGUGAUUGCCAGUGAAAUGACAGAGAAAUUUGAAGCCUCACACAUGGCUGGCAAGAAUGGAAAGUGGUAGUCACUCUGGAAAAUAGUCUUGCAGCUAUUCAAAUAGUGACACAGGGACUUACCUUAUUACCCAGCAAUUCCACUCCUAAUUUUACAGCCAAAACAAAUGAAAGACAUAUCCACACAAAAACUUAUAUAUAAAUGUUCACAGCAGCAUUAUUCAUAAUAACCCCCAAGUAGUAACAACAAACAUCCAUCAACUGAGGAAUGAAUAAACUGUCUUGUAUUUAUACAAUGAAAGAUUGUUCAGCAAUAAUAGAAGAAAUGAAGUGCUGGUCUAUGCUACAGCAUGGGUUGACUUUGAAAACAUCAUACCAAGUGAAGAAGCCAGACAACAAAGGUCAUACAUGGAGUUAUUCCAUUUAUAUUAAAUGUUCAUAAUAAACACAUCAAUAGAAAUAGAAGAUAAAUUAGCUGGGGAUUUAGGGAUUAGGGGAAAUGAAGAUUGUCUGCUAAUGAGUAUGGAAUUUCAUUGGGUACAUGAUGUAAAGCAUCUAGAAUUUAUUGUGGUAACUUGGCUCUAUUUUGUGAAUACACUGAAAAGCAGAAUUGCACACCAUGAAGUGUGACUUGUGUGUGAAUUUUAUCUCAAUGGGAAGUGAAUUUGCCAGAGAGGAUUUCUAUAUGAAUGGCUAAUGUCUCCUUUCCCCUCCCUCCCAUCAGCACUGGCAGACUUCAGUGAGCAAAACAGCACCAUGGAGUGGAGGCUGGAGCCAUUUACACCAAGUCUCACACCCCUGUGCCCUGCAAAUGCAUCAUCACUAGGACAAGUCCACCUGAGAAUCAGCACAGCAAGCCGCAGCCAUAGACUAGCACAAAACCCAUGCUCCCACCAAAUCUACUGAUCGUAGAGUGCUGCAAAGCUUCAGCUCCAGGGGAAAUAGGAUCUACCUUCCUUUGUUCAUUUGUUUUCCUCUUAAUAUGGCCAUUAUUAUCUCAGGAGCAGGAAUAGAAGUUUUCCCUAACAAUCACACAAGAAAUGCAGUGACAAAGAACUUCCACUCAAAUCCUAUGGUUUUAUAAUUCUUUAUGCCUUGUUAACCCAUUGGUGCAAGCCCAGGGAAUUUUUAAGCUUCUAAGCCCACAGUUUUCUAUGACUGAAUAAUAUUCCAUUGUAUACAUAUACCACAUCUUUAUCCAUUCUUGUAUCGAUGGACACUUGGGCCAUAAUUUGGCUACUGUAAAUAAUGCUGCUAUAAACACAAGGGUCCGUGUAUGCCUUCGAAUUAGUGUUUUUGUGUUCUUUGGGUAAAUAUCCAGUGGUAUGAUUACUGGAUUGUAGGGUAUUUCUAUUCUCACCUUUCUGAUGAUCCUCCACGGUGGCUGCACCAGUUUGCAUUCCCACCAACAUUGCAAGAGGGUUACUUUUUCUCCACAUCCUCACCAACAAUUGUUGUUCAAGAAAUUUUUAAUUGCAAGAUGAUUAUUUAAUUUGACUAUAGGCCUUUAGUGAUAGGUUAUCUGAGAGCUCAAGCUCCUGUGUACAUGGAAUUGGUGGAUUUAAAAUUCAAUGACAUGCCUCUUCAUGUCUUUUGCAGAUUUUGUAAUCAGACCAUUUGUUUUUCACCACUGCAUUUAGAGAGUUUUUGUAGCUUCAGACACCUGGCCUUGGUUGAGUGUGUGGUUUGUAAAUACUUCCUUUCAGGAUGUAUUUUGUUGUUUCAUCUUCUUAAAAUGGUCUUUCACAGAGCCUAUGUUGUUAAUUUUAAUAAAUUUCAGUUCAUCCCUUUCUUUUUAUGGAUCACACUUUUGGUGUCAAGUCUAAAAUCUCUUUGCCAACCCUAGACCCCCGACUUUUCUCAUAGACUUUUUUUUCCUAAUGUUUUACAUUCUACAAAUAAGUGUGUGAUCCAUUUAAUGAUUGUAUGGGGUGUGAGUUUUAGGCUUUUAGCAUAGUUUAAUUUUGCCCUGAUGUCCACUUGCCCUACUUCCAUUUGAUGGAGACACCAUCUUUCAUCCCAUUAAUUACUUGGGCAUGUUUGCCAAAACUCAGUUCAGCAUAUUUGUUUGGGUUUCUAUUCAUUGCCAUUGAUCAACAUGCCUAUCCCUCUGCCAGUACCACACAUAAUUUACUAGCUAUGUAAUAACUGUUAAAAUAGGGGAGAUUUUAUCCUUAUGUUUCAAAAUUGCUUUAGCUAUUCUAAUUCCAUUGCCUUUCCAUGGGGGUAUUUAAGGUGCUUUUUUUUUUUCCAAGAGAAGCUCUGAAACUUGCUAUUUUCAUUAUCAGGUCAUCAUCAACCUCUUUCCAUGUCAGUACCUGUAGAUCUACCUCAUUUAUUUUAAGUUUAUUUAUUUAUUUUGAGAGAGUGAGAAUCAGGGCAGGGCAGAGAGAGAGGGAGAGAGAGAGCAUCCCAAGCAGGCUCUGCACUGAUAGUGCACAGGGCUCCCCACCAACCUGAGCUCAUGACCUGAGCUAAGAUCAAGAGUCAAAUGCUUAACCAACUGAGCCAACAAGGGGCCCCUGGAUCUAUCUCAAUUAAAAAGCAAAAAUCAAAAUAAAAUACAUCUAGUACAUCAUGGCAUUGAUGUACUAGAAUUUAUUUAAGCUGGUCCUUCUUAACAGCAAUUAUUUCCCCCCAGUUUCCUGCUAUAUUAAGUAAUGCUGAAAUCAGUAUCAUAGUCUACAUGUGUUUGCACAAAUGUUCCCCAAACCUGUUUGUUGCCAUUUGACUUUGUUUGGGCUUUGUGCAAAGAUCCAUUUUGUUUAAACGUUGUGAGGUCAAGUUUAUUGAUCAUUUGCCUAAUGGCUUCUGGGCUUUGUGUUAUGCUUUAGAAAGAACUUCCCCACUCCAAAAUUGUAAAUAACAAUGAUUCAUCCAUGUUCUCUUGGGGUACUUUCACGGUUUCAGUUUCCCAGUCCUUGUCCCGCUGAGCCCCCUCAGAACUGACCAAGUCUCCCUGGAGACCAGAACCGCCUGGGCUGCUCUGGGGAAGCCCACGCAGCGCACCCUGGCCGCCAGCCUCUCAGGGAAAUGUUCCAAGAACCUCGUGCGCAGCAGUGUCGUGCCUUGCCGGCCAGCAGCUCUCAGGAGGAGGCCCCGGGACGCCCUGGACGCCUACUGCCCACCCCCAGGAAGACAGAUGCCUUGCGAGGUGGGCUGGGAGGAAAUUACCCUAUUAGACUGCCAAGGUGCACCCUCUCCAGCACCUAGACUGUGUCGUCCCCUCGAAGGCUAAUAACUGUUCUGUGGCGCCAUCUGGUGGCCACUUUUAUAUACUUUCCCACCGGCAUUCAGGCGAAAUCUGCAAGUGUGGUGUUUGGCCUCUGUGAGCCAGGCAGAACUCCAGGAGGCCUGUGGCACCUGCGGCAAUCUUCCGGGUCCUACUGGGAGUCGGAGCAUUGACGCCUAUCCAUUUGCUGGAAAAUAAACAGGCAGCGUUUUGAGGAGUGACCGUCGCUGUCCUGCCAGGUGUGGACCACAACCUGAGGGUGCCCCUUCACACGCGGGAACCAACCAAAGUCGCUAUGGUGUAACGGGAAAAAAGUGUUCGGCGCCCAGACACCUUCACACACGUGGCUCCGCCAUCGGGUCUUUGUGCUAUCCGUUUUUUCCCACUCCCGCCCGAGGUGGGACUGGGUCAUAAUGGGAGGACAGGCUUGCACAUCGCAGGGUCAGACGCCAGCCCGCGUGUGUCCCAGCUGUCAGCAGCGCCUCCUGAAAUUGUUUUCCAAGGCCCCAUUCAAAAUGGUAGGCCGGCACGAGCCGUCUGUGAGGGACAGAACAGGGCUCUGGCUGGGCUCAAUUCCUUCGUGGGGUCCGGUGAUCGGAGGUGCCUCCAAGGUGUCCCGAGUUCCACUCCAGAGACACGGACCUGCUAUUCCCGCACAGAUGGCCCGGGAAGAAUUUUCUAAAUCCCCUCAGAAGCCCGGGAGCUUGCUUGCUCCAACCAGUGAGGCCCUACCCUGAGAGCUGCAAGACCCAGCCUGGAAGACCAAACCACAGCCUCCACAACUGGACCCAAGCAAUCAGGACCUGAUCAAUAUCUGACAUUUUCCCCUCAAUGUCCCUUUUCCUCAAAAAGCUUCCAAAAUAGAAAAUGGAAGAAAGCCAAAUUUUCUCCCCCUCACCAAUCUUGUCUGACCUUGAAGUCAGCCUGACCCUCCCAUCAGGACGUGUCUUCCUUUUGUUUCCACCAGAAAGUUCUCCCACUCCUCCACCUGCCUUGGAGUCUCUGCAACUGCUGGUGGCUGAUUCCCUCGCCAUGUAGAGCAAGCUCUGAAUACAUGGUGCUUGUUCUCAUUUGGAAGGUCUUCCUUUAUCUCAGUAGUGGGGGAACCAAACAAAGCACUCAGAGAAUCAUACUGUUCCCCAUGUUAACUCUUAAAAAAAUAUAUAUGUAUGUAUUUAUCAUAUAAUUUUUUAAUUGAGAUAUAAUUCAUAUACCAUAAAAUUCACCCUUAUAAAAAUGAACAAUUCAGUGAUUUAUACUCUAUUCACAAAGUUAUGUAAAUGUCACCACUGCCUAAUUCCAGAAUAUUUCAUUGCCCUAAAAAAGACAUUCCUUCCCAUUAAAUAGUUUCUUUCCAUUCCACCCCCUCCCCAGACCCUGGCAACCACCAAUCUGCUUUUUUAUCUGGAUCUAUGGAUUUAUCUGCAUCUCUGUAUUCUGGAUAUUUCAUGAAAAUGAAACCAUACAA